UGUAAUUCAGUCUUUGGCUGGCGAGGUAACUAUUGGAAUCGUGACGUUGUAUUUACAUUUGAUUGUGUAUAAUAUUUUCGAAUUUUAGUACAUGCAUUGCUUCUAAUGACUUUAGCCUGGAGCACAAAAAGCGUGUGGUACUAUAGAGGCGGGGUGUGCUGCUUGAAUUCGUGGAAAUUGAGGCUGCUGCAGAUGAAUAGCAAAUUGAGUUCAAUAUUUCUUUAAAGUUGGAGACUGAAAAUCUACCAAUGGAACUGGAGAAGAACACAAACAGCAAGAGGGAGGUGCCUCAAAGGAAUGCAACAGGAGAACUGAUCCUAGCUGUGAAGCGUGGGAGGGUGAAGUACGUGCAAGAACUGUUGGCAGCCGGAGCAAAGAUCACGGUGCGGGACAGGAAGGGGAACACAGCCCUGCACUGGGCGGCACAAGGGGGAAAUGAGGAGGCCGCCAGGUAUCUGCUGCAAGCCGGGGCCAAUGUGGAGGCUGUCGACAGCUGGUGGCGGCAAACGCCAUUGCACAGGGCUGCAGAGUGGGGCCACAAGGCAGUGGCGAAGAUGUUGCUGAUUGCUGGUGCUGACCCCGACAUCUGCGACGGGGAUGGGAGGACGUCACUACACUUGGCGGCUUUAGGUGGCCAUGUGGGGAUGGUGACAGUGCUGCUGGCAGCGAGUGCGGACCGGGGCAUCAAGGACUAUGGAGGGAGGAUGCCUGUAGACAUGGUCAGGGAGAAGGACAGGGAGCAGCUGUUGCCCCUACUCAGAUGUUGCGGUAUUGGCUUGAAUGUGCCCACAAGUGAACUUCUGGAGAAGAAAAUCCAGUGGUAGGCACUGGAGUACUUCUACCUCAGCAUCCUGUGUUCCUCAAGCUGCCCUACACCAGACAAGCCAGAUCCACGUGCAACACCUGCAGCAACAUGGACAUGACGUCGAAUGGAACUUUCGUAUCAGAAUAACGUCGUCCGGCCGAGUGUAUCUGGGCCUCCAGCCCAGCUGAGAUUACUUGCACUGUGGAUGAGCUUCUCAUCAGCUGGAUUGAGGCCUAUCCUGUGCUGAUAUCAGUACAGGCUUCUGAUGUGAUCACCAUCGCACAAUGCCUCCGCUUCAGUUCGGACUUCAGCCAGAGCACUGAUGGGGCCUCGGUGCCAGCUGCCUCCUCCAAAUGCACCAUCUACAAGGUGUGCCAUAGGUAUGCUACUUCCUGCCAGCCUCGUGCUCUCAGUUGUGGAACAACAUUCGUUCCUGUGGAGGUGCUUCACACCAGUGGGGCCCUAGCCCUCCAUUGUCUCAGGAGGUCACAGGUCACACCAGGUCUGGGUCACCACUGUCAGUACAUGUACUGGCUGCUAGUCCACACCAGCUGAGGUGACACUACCCACUCAGCAAGUCUGCUCCGACCAGCUGCCAUCACCAUUGCCGACAUCGCAUUCUGCUGCCAACGUGGCCGACAUUGCAGUCUACCACCGUAGUGGUUCCCGACUGCAGGCACUCACAGACUCCGAUGUAUAGAAUGUGUAGUCAAGAAAGCUGUUUAUGGUCUGAGAGCAUUCUCUGGUCUUGCUGACUCCACAGACCCAUCUUUACUCUCUCUCUCUCUCUCUCUCUCUCUCUCUCUCUCUCUCUCUCUCUCUCUCUCUCUCUCCAAGAUCACCUGCGUUCAACAUCCUGAUGGUCAGGUGGCCUUCCUGGUGUCACUGGAUGACUACGUAGUGGUCAUCAACCCAGGCAUUCUGGCAUCAGAAAUUGUGCUGGAAACCGGUGAGCAACAUCAUAAGGCAUCAAUCUAUGAUGACACUUUCUCAAGUGAGUGGCAGCGUGUGUGUUUUAUGAAUGCAUGUGGUUCUUGUAGCCUUCGUUCCUCAAGUUUGUCCUCAUUCCUGUUUCUUAUUAUUUCUGGCAUAGUUUCUGGUCGCAUCGGUGACCCAGAUGGGGGCUAACAGUUGCGGUUCACGUGUGGUCCCUUCUCUCCGAACUGGAGUCCUUCCCUUUACCACCUCUACUUGUGGACCGUUCACAUAUGCCUCCAUGGUGUACGCCUCGGCCGCAAUUUCGUCUGGACCUUUUGCAUGGCCCUAAGGACUCCGUUAACCCCACUGCUCUCCGCUGUCACUUCCUCUCAAUUCUUGACAUGUUCCGGGGCUCUGAAGUGGUUCACACUGACGGCUCAAUGGCUGAUGGUCACGUAGGCUUCACAUAUGUUCAUGGAGGACUUACUGAGCAGCACUCCUUGCCAGUUGGCUGCAGUGUUUUCACUGCAGAGCUGGCAGCCAAGUCUCAUGCUCUUGAGUACAUCCGCGAAUCAUUUCUCCUGUGUACUGACUCAUUGAGCAGCCUACAAGCUAUCAACCAGUGCUACACUCGCCACCCUCUGGUUGUGUCCAUUCCAUGGUGUUUGUGUGGACCCCAGGACAUGUCGGUAUCUCUGGCAACGAACUUGCCGACAGGCUGGCCAAACAGGCGAUGCGGAAACUACUUCUAGAGAUAGGCAUCUCCGAAGCUGACCGGCGUUCUGUCUUACACCGCAGGGUUUUCUGGCUUUGGGAGAUGGAAUGGCAUAACAGUAUGCACAACAAACUGCAUGCCAUUAAGGAGACUGUGAAUGUGUGGGAGUCUUCCCUGCAGGCCUUUUGCAGCGAAUCAGUUGUCCUAUGCCAGCUCUGCAUUGGCCAUACGUGGCUAACCCAUGGUUACCUACUCCGUCCCGAGGACCCACCUCAGUGUCGCUGUGGCUCCCAAAUGAGUCGUCCGCCUCUUGCUUGGCUGCCCACUUUUAGCCGCUCUGCGGCAGACUUUUAACUUUCUAAGCAUUUUCUAUCAAGAAUAGCUGGAAUAAAGAAUUAGACUUACUAUCCCAAUAAUAUUAUGAGAAGGAAAGUUGCUACUCACCAUAUAACGGAGAUGCUGAGUCACACAUAGGCACAACAAAAAGACUCUCACAGUUACAGCUUUCGAGCGUUAAGGCCUUCAUCAAAACACACACACACACACACACACACACACACACACACACACACACACACACCCUGGAUUUUCCAUUGUUUGACUUACUAUCCUAAUUUGCACUAAUUACAUACAGUAAUAACUUUUUAUAAUUGUGGCUAUCAGAGUACAAUUGUAUUUUUUAAAAAAAACAUAUUUUUAAUAGUUCUAAUAAAAUAAUCACCCAUUACACUCAGGAGUUACAUUUUAAAUAGACUAAAAAUAAAUUUAUGAAAAAGUGCAAAUUUAUUAUUGGUAACUUAUGUAUAUUUCCACUUAAAUUUUACAAAAGUAUCAUUCUUUAGUGAAAUAUGUAUUUUUGAAAUUUUAUAUAGAUGUGAACCCAUACUUGGGGAAUUAGUUAACAAUUAUGUGAAGUGUUGUGUAUAAUGUUUUGAAAACAUUUUGGAGAUGCACUUUUUGCAAAAUUAAAAAUUGAAAUUCUCAUUCACAUUUGAAAAAAAUUUCCAUCUGAAAUCCAUAAUGUGCUGUAAAAGCCAGGGUGAAAUAAUGACAAUAUUAUGAAAAGGAUAGAUUGCCACUCACCAUACAGUGGCGAUGGUGAGUCACAGACAGGCACAGCAAAAGUACUGCUAAACACACACACACACACACACACACACACACACACACACACACGGGAUAGGGUUGUGACAUUGCGAAACGUGUGACAGAUUAUCUGUUGAUAGCAUUAUUACCUGCAACAAAUAAAAAUAAUUUGAAAGCCAAUAGCUUCUAUCUCUACUACUAAUGUCCUUACUACGUUGCUCAAGUUUUCUCCAUUCAGUUUCUUCACAGGCAAUAGAUGUAUAGCUUUUCCUAAAAGAAGAAAGUGUGGUGUACUGAGAUACUACACAAAAAGAGUUGGCAACAGUUGGUACCAGGAGUACCAUGAACAUCUAUCCACAGCAGAAACAUCGUUGCAUUCAAACCAUUCACACUGCUGCGAUAAUCACACCGUCUGGAGCUGCAGCAUCACCAGGAAGAGAGACGUGUGCUUAAGCAACUGUGUACACACAUACGUUGUCAUUUGCAAGUUGUAAGUCAGUCCAAGUCUUGCUAGGGAGUUCCUACAGAGUGUUUGUCACGUCUUCAAGUCGUCGAGUGAGAUAUAAACAGUGGCCGAUAGGUAGAUAGUGGUUAGUCCUCACCAGAAAGAGAAUAGUGAAUAGAAUUAUCAUGCAUGGACAGAGACUGCAUGCCUAGAGAUUUAAACUGUUCUUCGAAUAGUACAUAAAGACAGAAGAUCAGUUUUCUUCCAACUUUAGUUCAGAAAACAUUAUUUAAUUUGUCUUCAUGGAACUGUUGUCAACACAAGACGGAGAGGUUAAACUCGCAUUCUAAAAUAUCUGUAACUGCGUUACCAAUGUCAAGUAAUAUUUUCACUAUUCUGCAUCACUGUCAUUGGGUGUGUGCUCCCUUAGAACCCAUGCAUCCAUCAUACCAGGACCCGUUAUUAGUCUUCUUCAGCAGCAGUGAGAUUUUCAUCAGUCUAUACCACCACCCACAACAGAAAGUAUGCUUUGAAUCAUGAAUACAUGUGCACUUUUUGCUAUAUGAGCAGUAUCCAAAGCACCUAGUAAUAUUUCUUCCUUUACAAUCUACGUAUGGCGUGAUGUGAAUCUCAUCUAGCGUAAAGGUCAUCAACAGCACAUAUGGUUUCAGACAUGAAACUUCAUCCUUCAGGUGACUUAAGAAAUUUAGAUUACUUGGCUUCUCAUUUACAUUCUAGCUAAGCUUCCUUAAUAAAUUGGGAUGAGGUAAAAUGAAAAAACCUAAUUAUUGUAAAAGCUUGUAAGGAUGUGGAGAAAUAGAAAAAAAAAUGGAACAGAGAAUCAACAUUUUGGAUCAAAUUUAAGACGAGCCAUGGACUGAUGAGACAAUGCAGUUUGUGCCUUCAGGAGUGAAACAAACCUUUUCUUACUCUCUGGGGUUGUUAAUCUUCCAAGGAGUGAGCAUCUGGCAUGUGUAAAUCACUCCGAUACUAAUUAAGUCUGCACAUAACUUCAGCACAUUUUCAACUUAACUUAAUACUCUUACUGUCUUUGUAAGUGUGUUUGCAACAAUCUCUUCGCCCUUCAUACACAGUUUAACAUGGAGGCUUCUGCAAAUUAAUACAAACUGAAGAGCCAAAGAAACUGGUACACCUGGCUAAUAUUGUGUAGAGCCCCGUGAACAUGCAGAAGUGCCACAACACAGCAUAGCAUGGACUCGACUAAUGUCUGAAGUAGUGCUGGAGGGAACUGACACCAUGAAUCCUGCAGGGCUGUCCAUAAAUCUGUAAGAGUAUGAGGCAGUGGAGACCUCUUCUGAACAGCACGUUGCAAGGCAUCCAAGAUAUGCUGAAUAAUGUUCAUGUCUGGGGAGUCUGGUAGCCAGAAAAAGUAUUUAAACGCAGAAGAGAGUUGCUGCAGCCACUCUGUAGCAAUUCUGGAUGCAUGGGGUGUCGCUUUGUCCUGCUGGAAUUGCCCAAGUGAGAAGGAAUGCACAAUGGACGUGAAUGGAUACAGGUGAUCAGACAGUAUGCUGACAUAUGUAUCACCUGCCAGAGUUGUAGCUAGAUGUAUGAGGGGUACCAUAUCACUCCAAGUGCACACGCCCCACACCAUUACAGAGCAUCCACCAGCUUUAACAGUUCCCUGCUGACAUCUAGGGUCCAUGGAUUCGUGAGGUUGUCUCCAUACCCAUACACAUCCAUCUGCACAAUACACUUUCAAACGAGACUCGUCCAACCAAGCAACAUGUUUCCAGUCAUCAACAGUCCAAUGUCAGCAUUGACGGGCCCAGGCGAGGUGUUGAGCUUUGUGUCGUGUAGUCAUCAGGGGUACACGAGUGGGUCUUCAGCUCCAAAAGCCCAUACCAAUGAUGUUUCGGUGAAUGGUUUGCACAUCGACACUUGAUGAUGGCCCAGCAUUGAAAUCUGCAGCAAUUUGCAGAAGGGUUGCACUUCUGUCAUGUUUAAUGAUUCUCUUCAGUCAUUGUUGGUCCCGUUCUUGCAGGAUCUUUCUCCAGCCGGAGCGAUGUUGGAGAUUUGAUAUUUUACCAGAUUCCUGAUAUACACAGUACACUUUUGAAAUGGAUGUACGGGAAAACGCCCACUUCAUCGCUACCCCAGAGAUGGUGUAACCCAUCACUCAUGCACCAACUUUAAAACCACGUUCAGACUCACUUAAAUCUUGAUAACCUGCCGUUAUAGCAGCAGUAACCAAUUUAACAACUGCACCAGACAUUUGUUGUCUUGUAAAGGUGUUGCUGACUGCAGAGUCGUAUUUUGCCUGUUUAUAUAUCUCUGUAUUUGAAUAUGCGUGCCUAUACCAGUUUCUUUGGCUCUUCAGUUUUUACACACACACACACCAUACGGAGUUUUUUCAAAGUUAAAUCCAGGAACUGUACAUAAUCUUUUUGCAGGACUUCUCUCCACUGUUCAUUCACUGUAUUAAUUUAACUUUUUUUCCUGAGGUUAUUAAUGUGUUUAAGAACUGGGAAAGGAAAUGAAAAGAAAAUUAUUCUGGAAACAUUUUGAAAUUAAAUACUUUCACUUACACAUUGUCUAUCAUCUUACUUCAAACACAUCUUCUAUAGCAAAGUGAGAUCCGUACAUGUCACUAACUUAAAAAAUUUUGUUAUUCAUAAUACAAAAAAUGCCAGUUAUCAUCUUUUAGGAUCAGAAUUUUUCUGAUGCUAGAUUUACAUUUCUACUUCCUGUAGAGAGUUGAAAUUAAAUAAACUGGUAGCUCUGUCACAUACAGUUUUAUGUAGCUUAUGCACUGUAGAGUUAACAUGUAUUGAAACUACUCUGAGGAAUAAAAGGCAUUUGCACAACAUGUUCAAUGAAACUGUGCACUGAUAAUAUAACCUUCGUCGUUCUACAGUACGAUCCAAAAUAAUAUCCGCACUUACAAAUUUUACGUAAUGUAUGUUGAAGCAACAACAAAGAAGCUGUAUGUUAUUAGUUUACUGAUAUUUUUUAAGUGAAAAUAAGUUUUACAAAACAUAUUAUGUCAAAAUUAAAAUGUGUUUCCACCUUAUUCCUUUUUAUGGACUUGAGCUGGAUCUCUUUUUGACUUGACAAAUUUUUCACAUGUACCACGUUCAGUUUCAUAGCAUCAGAUAUGAACAGUUUCCUCAAUUGUUUCAAUUCUACCUCUGUGCCAUUCAUACAGCAAUAUUUAGUUAGUUUCUGAGACAUAAUUGCCCACAGAUUCUUGGUGGGCUUCAUGUCGGGAGAAUUUGGGAGCUACCAUAACUUCUCAAUAGACAGAUCUGUGCAACGCACCUGAACAACCCUGAGACUGUGACUGUUAGCACUGUCAUCUUGUAAAACAAAUGGCCCUAGGUUUCUCCACUGAAAUGAUCCUUUGCAGUAUAUAAUACCUCAUUAUUAAGGAUAUCACAGUAUUUUAACCUUGUAAUUAAAUGUACACAAAUCUCAAUUCUCCAUCCUCCUUUAGUACUGUAGUGUCGCGUAAUAGUAAAGAGUUGGAAACGUGGAAUAUUGUCAAAGUUUCGUUGCCUAUGCCGAGAGCCAGAGGCAGUAGGUUAGCCAAGAGGUAAGAGGAUUGCACAUGUAUCGGAAUGUGUCAUCACCCAGGGGCAGUGGCCUGAUUACACACAACAGGCGAGAGAGAAUUGCUUAGCACACGGGUUUGUGUUAGACGGAUACUUUCGUAGAGUGUAAGACAUAGGUAUAGCGUCAGCUGUACUGCAUUUCAUAACUUCACGUAAGUCUGCCAUAACAACACAUAACUCUGUCACAAGAACACCUAAGGGGCGAGUACGACAGAUAAAUCAGCAGUAUAAGUGGAACAAAUGCGAUCAUUACAAAUGAGCAUGACAUCAGGACGUCGCUCGUGCUUCCUUUAAAUACACCAGCUUUGAUAGCAACAGGGAGCAACAGGGCACUCGCAGUUAGAUGUAUACUGGGACACUGCGUAGCGCUCAGCACGGUGAUCGACAUGUUAAUCUUUAUUAAGGAGAUGUUGCAGUAAGGGUGGCCCAUCCAGCAGCAGACGUGAGGGGACAGUACCAGCUCUGGUCCUCUCUGCUGCCGCUGUCAGUCAUCAACCCAGGAUUAGCAGACAUCAUGGCAGACUCGCUCGCCGCCAAUGCUGACCACAUGAGUGAGCCGUCGUCGAGAUCGUGCGGGACCUAGGCUCUGUGUAUCCGCUGUCACAAUUGGGUGAGCCGACGACGCUGGGGGAUUGCAGCCCGUUCUGCCCGUCCACCGCGGACAAGCCACCAGGAGGAGCAGGGAAGAAGACGGGGUGAGAUAGAGUACACUCCACACUACGAGAACGCCUCUCCUGCCGACAGCGCCGGGACUCCAACCCAGAGCUCCUACGCGCAGCGGCCUGCUAUCCGCCGCCGAGCGAGCCGGCCAGCCGGGCACCGCCAGCGACCAAAAUGGUGACCUGUGCUGAAGAAUUAUAAGAUGGUGGCUGACAAACAGAAAGGAAGCUCUAGGGAGAUAUGGCUUUGUCACCAACUUUUCCCCUUGCUGCAAUUUAAACUCAUAUGUGGUUUCAUGAGUAAAAUGUUAUAUGAUAAGCAAUUGACAAGACACACAGAUUAUUAUACUUACAAAUGCUUAUGUUUAUUUACUAUGAUAUUGUAUUUUCCCCAAUGUUGGCGUUAUGGAUGUUACAAAUUACAGAAAAGUAAAUAAAGUUUUUCA